rnacentral:rRNA from 1 species
GGGGGAAACCCUGACGCAGCAACGCCGCGUGGAGGAUGAAGGUCUUUGGAUUGUAAACUCCUUUCGAUCGGGAAGAUGAUGACGGUACCGGAAGAAGAAGCCCCGGCUAACUUCGUGCCAGCAGCCGCGGUAAUACGUAGGGGGCGAGCGUUGUCCGGAUUUACUGGGCGUAAAGCGCGUGUAGGCGGGAGCCAAAGUCGUGCGUGAAAGGUGGGGGCUCAACCCCCACACGCCGUGCGAAACUCGGCUUCUUGAGGGUCGAAGAGGAGCGUGGAAUUCCCGGUGUAGCGGUGAAAUGCGUAGAGAUCGGGAGGAACACCCGUGGCGAAGGCGGCGCUCUGGUCGGCCACUGACGCUGAGACGCGAAAGCGUGGGGAGCGAACGGGAUUAGAUACCCCGGUAGUCCACGCCGUAAACGAUGGUCACUAGGUGUCGGCGGUAUCGACCCCGCCGGUGCCGCAGCUAACGCAAUAAGUGACCCGCCUGGGGAGUACG